rnacentral:rRNA from 1 species
AUUGAACGCUGGCGGCAUGCUUUACACAUGCAAGUCGAACGGCAGCGCGGGCUUCGGCCUGGCGGCGAGUGGCGAACGGGUGAGUAAUGCAUCGGAACGUGCUCAGCAGUGGGGGAUAGCUGGGCGAAAGCCGGAUUAAUUCCGCAUACGGCGUGAGGGUGAGAGUGGGGGACGGAAAGGCUUCGCGCUAUUGGAGGGGCGGGUGUCGGAGUAGCGAGUGGGUGGGGUAAAGGCUUACCAAGGUGACGUUCCGUAGCUGGUCUGAGUAGACGACCAGCCACACUGGGACUGAGACACGGCCCAGACUCCUACGGGAGGCAGCAGUGGGGAAUUUUGGACAAUGGGGGCAACCCUGAUCCAGCCAUGCCGCGUGCGGGAAGAAGGCCUUCGGGUUGUAAACCGCUUUUGUUCGGGAAGAAAUCCUCUGGGCUAAUACCCCGGGGGGAUGACGGUACCGGAAGAAUAAGCACCGGCUAACUACGUG